rnacentral:rRNA from 1 species
GAUCUGGUCAGAACGAACGCUGGCGGCGCGUUUAAGCAUGCAAGUCGAGCGGCAAGGGCCUUCGGGCCCCUAGAGCGGCGGACGAGUGAGUAACACGUGGACAAUCUGCCCCCCGGCCCGGGAUAGCCCAGGGAAACCUGGAUUAAUACCGGAUGAGACGGGACCCGCGAUGGCGGGAUCCGGGAAAGGCGCUGCGGCGCCGCCGGGGGAUGAGUCUGCGUCCCAUUAGCUAGACGGCGGGGUAACGGCCCACCGUGGCGACGAUGGGUAGCCGGCCUGAGAGGGUGGACGGCCACAUUGGAACUGAGACACGGUCCAGACUCCUACGGGAGGCAGCAGCUAAGAAUCUUCCGCAAUGGGCGAAAGCCUGACGGAGCGACGCCGCGUGAACGAAGAAGGCCGUGAGGUUGUAAAGUUCUUUUCGGGAGGGGGAACAACCGUGGCAGGGAAUGGCCGCGGGAUGACGUGAAUCCCGGAAUAAGCCCUGGCUAACUACGUGCCAGCCGCUGC